rnacentral:rRNA from 1 species
UACGUAGGGUGCGAGCGUUAAUCGGAAUUACUGGGCGUAAAGCGUGCGCAGGCGGUUCGUUGUGUCGGCGGUGAAAGCCCCGGGCUCAACCUGGGAAUGGCCGUUGAAACUGGCAAGCUGGAGUACGGUAGAGGAAGGUGGAAUUCCCGGUGUAGCAGUGAAAUGCGUAGAGAUCGGGAGGAACACCAGUGGCGAAGGCGGCCUUCUGGACCAGUACUGACGCUCAUGCACGAAAGCGUGGGGAGCAAACAGG